GGCCGGGACCUAUGCGACGGAAGCAGGUGAAUCCCGCCAGGACCGGAAGGUAGCAACGGUAGCUGUCGCUUUCCGGGCGCCGUAGGCAAACCUGGUCCCG
rnacentral:SRP_RNA from 2 species